rnacentral:rRNA from 1 species
UACGGGGGGGGCAAGCGUUGUUCGGAAUUACUGGGCGUAAAGGGCUUGUAGGUGGCCAACUAAGUCAGACGUGAAAUCCCUCGGCUUAACCGGGGAACUGCGUCUGAUACUGGAUGGCUAGAGAUUGGGAGAGGGAUGCGGAAUUCCUGGUGUAGCGGUGAAAUGCGCAGAUAUCAGGAAGAACACCCGUGGCGAAGGCGGCUCUCUGGGACGUGACUGACGCUGAGACGCGAAAGCGUGGGGAGCGAACAGG